UCGAGCGAACAGACGAGGAGCUUGCUCCUCUGACGUUAGCGGCGGACGGGUGAGUAACACGUGGAUAACCUACCUAUAAGACUGGGAUAACUUCGGGAAACCGGAGCUAAUACCGGAUAAUAUAUUGAACCGCAUGGUUCAAUAGUGAAAGACGGUUUUGCUGUCACUUAUAGAUGGAUCCGCGUCGCAUUAGCUAGUUGGUAAGGUAACGGCUUACCAAGGCAACGAUGCGUAGCCGACCUGAGAGGGUGAUCGGCCACACUGGAACUGAGACACGGUCCAGACUCCUACGGGAGGCAGCAGUAGGGAAUCUUCCGCAAUGGGCGAAAGCCUGACGGAGCAACGCCGCGUGAGUGAUGAAGGUCUUCGGAUCGUAAAACUCUGUUAUUAGGGAAGAACAAAUGUGUAAGUAACUAUGCACGUCUUGACGGUACCUAAUCAGAAAGCCACGGCUAACUACGUGCCAGCAGCCGCGGUAAUACGUAGGUGGCAAGCGUUAUCCGGAAUUAUUGGGCGUAAAGCGCGCGUAGGCGGUUUUUUAAGUCUGAUGUGAAAGCCCACGGCUCAACCGUGGAGGGUCAUUGGAAACUGAAAAACUUGAGUGCAGAAGAGGAAAGUGGAAUUCCAUGUGUAGCGGUGAAAUGCGCAGAGAUAUGGAGGAACACCAGUGGCGAAGGCGAC
rnacentral:rRNA from 1 species